AAUAGAUACCCCGGUAGUCCAUGCCGUAAACGUUGGGAACUAGAUGUGGGGGCCAUUCCACGGUCUCCGUGUCGCAGCUAACGCAUUAAGUUCCCCGCCUGGGGAGUACGGCCGCAAGGCUAAAACUCAAAGGAAUUGACGGGGGCCCGCACAAGCGGCGGAGCAUGCGGAUUAAUUCGAUGCAACGCGAAGAACCUUACCAAGGCUUGACAUAUACGAGAACGCUGCAGAAAUGUAGAACUCUUUGGACACUCGUAUACAGGUGGUGCAUGGUUGUCGUCAGCUCGUGUCGUGAGAUGUUGGGUUAAGUCCCGCAACGAGCGCAACCCUCGUUCUAUGUUGCCAGCACGUAAUGGUGGGAACUCAUAGGAGACUGCCGGGGUCAACUCGGAGGAAGGUGGGGAUGACGUCAAAUCAUCAUGCCCCUUAUGUCUUGGGCUUCACGCAUGCUACGAUGGCCGGUACAAAGGGCUGCAAUACCGCAAGGUGGAGCGAAUCCCAAAAAGCCGGUCUCAGUUCGGA
rnacentral:rRNA from 1 species